UACGGAGGGUGCGAGCGUUGUCCGGAAUCACUGGGCGUAAAGGGCGCGUAGGCGGCGCGGGUAGUCAUCGGUGAAAGUUCAGGGCUCAACUCUGAAUCGGCCGGUGAUACUCCCGUGCUCGAGCACUGUAGAGGCAGGUGGAAUUCCGGGUGUAGCGGUGGAAUGCGUAGAGAUCCGGAAGAACACCAAUAGCGAAGGCAGCUCGCUGGGACGUUACUGACACUGAGGCGCGAAAGCGUGGGGAGCGAACAGG
rnacentral:rRNA from 1 species